rnacentral:rRNA from 1 species
GGUGAAGAGGAGCUUGCUCCUUGGAUCAGUGGCGAACGGGUGAGUAACACGUGAGCAAUCUGCCCUUGACUCUGGGAUAACUGCGGGAAACUGUAGCUAAUACCGGAUAUUACCUUGGAAGGCAUCUUCUGGGGUGGAAAGAAUUUUGGUCAAGGAUGAGCUCGCGGCCUAUCAGCUAGUUGGUGAGGUAAUGGCUCACCAAGGCGACGACGGGUAGCCGGCCUGAGAGGGUGACCGGCCACACUGGGACUGAGACACGGCCCAGACUCCUACGGGAGGCAGCAGUGGGGAAUAUUGCACAAUGGGCGCAAGCCUGAUGCAGCAACGCCGCGUGAGGGACGAAGGCCUUCGGGUUGUAAACCUCUUUUAGUAGGGAAGAAGCGACUGGGUUUUCCUGGGAGUGACGGUACCUGCAGAAAAAGCACCGGCUAACUACGUGCCAGCAGCCGCGGUAAUACGUAGGGUGCAAGCGUUGUCCGGAAUUAUUGGGCGUAAAGAGCUCGUAGGCGGUUUGUCGCGUCUGCUGUGAAAACCCGAGGCUCAACCUCGGGCCUGCAGUGGGUACGGGCAGACUAGAGUGCGGUAGGGGAGAUUGGAAUUCCUGGUGUAGCGGUGGAAUGCGCAGAUAUCAGGAGGAACACCAAUGGCGAAGGCAGAUCUCUGGGCCGUAACUGACGCUGAGGAGCGAAAGCAUGGGGAGCGAACAGGAUUAGAUACCCUGGUAGUCCAUGCCGUAAACGUUGGGAACUAGAUGUGGGGACCAUUCCACGGUCUCCGUGUCGCAGCUAACGCAUUAAGUUCCCCGCCUGGGGAGUACGGCCGCAAGGCUAAAACUCAAAGGAAUUUGACGGGGGCCCGCACAAGCGGCGGAGCAUGCGGAUUAAUUCGAUGCAACGCGAAGAACCUUACCAAGGCUUGACAUAUACCGGAAACGGCCAGAAAUGGUCGCCCCGCAAGGUCGGUAUACAGGUGGUGCAUGGUUGUCGUCAGCUCGUGUCGUGAGAUGUUGGGUUAAGUCCCGCAACGAGCGCAACCCUCGUCCUAUGUUGCCAGCACGUAAUGGUGGGAACUCAUGGGAUACUGCCGGGGUCAACUCGGAGGAAGGUGGGGAUGACGUCAAAUCAUCAUGCCCCUUAUGUCUUGGGCUUCACGCAUGCUACAAUGGCCGGUACAAAGGGCUGCGAUACCGCAAGGUGGAGCGAAUCCCAAAAAGCCGGUCUCAGUUCGGAUUGAGGUCUGCAACUCGACCUCAUGAAGUCGGAGUCGCUAGUAAUCGCAGAUCAGCAACGCUGCGGUGAAUACGUUCCCGGGCCUUGUACACACCGCCCGUCAAGUCAUGAAAGUCGGUAACACCCGAAGCCAGUGGCCGAACCCGUAAGG